AAAGGCGAGAAGGCUGCAGGCUUGCAAACUCAGGGUUCCGGGCCAGAGGACUCCAUUUCCCAGAAUGCCUCUUAAAUCUUGCCCGGCCCUCUUGCUCCACCCCGAGGCAUUCUGGGAGCGUCUUGCGGGCAGCCUCUGCUCCUGGCGGACUCACAGUUGUGCUUCUUGGACCUGUUCCGGGCACACACAGAGGAAGUCUCCCCUCCUCAGGGCUGCCACCCCCCGGAAGGACCCCAGGGUGGCCCCAGCAGAGAACCUGCAGCCAGAGGAAUGGCCCCCGGGGCCCCGAGGCCCCCCUCCCAGAUCUUUCAGAGUGUCAACUGACUACAUUAAAUGACCAGUCAAUAAAUUAUUUAAAAUUAAGACAGAAGACAUUCUGCUUCUUGAGAAUUCUAAUCAUUACACUGUCAGUAUCUUUCUUUUGAAUGAGCUCAAUCUCCAAAAUAUCCUAUUUUUAAAAGGUGGAAAACCCCUUUUCCUCCUCAUACUUAUUCUUCUUUCCAUGUAACUAAAUGUAAAAUGACUGAGUAUAUUCUAGUAAUGAAUGGCACUCAUCAUAAAACAAAGACAACAUGUUUUGGCUAUGGCAUAUCGGAAGUGGUUCACCAAACUGUCCAUAUAACAUGAGACUGGGACUCUUCACUUAGGUUGAAUCAGACUCUGAUCCCCUAUAAACGCUAUGCUUUCAUCUAGAUAAGAGUAUUUCAGCCUUUUUGGGAAAUUAAGUAGAGAAUUCCCUUUUCACUGUUUUGCUACCUUCUCAGAAAGUCUUCAAGAAAAUGUUCUUACCGGACCAAUUCUUGACACUUGUGAUGAGGAAUUUCAGAUCACCUUCUCUCUUUCUCCUCCACAGAAUCUCAUACUUCACUCAGAGUAACAACACACUUCUCCGGGUUUCACUCUUCACAAUGUGAUUCUCACUUUAGACACAAAGUGCCUUUGCCAGUAUUCCACUGGGCUCUGAAUGACUGAUCUACAUUGGUGGCUCUGACACCCUUCAGGGUUCAGAGUUUGGGUAAAACCCUUUUGUGGUUCAGUUUCUUCCAGUCAGUGGAUCAGGGCUGUACCAGAUGAAAACUGGGCUCUAAAACUUGUGACUUUGUUGGUUUAGGGGUCAAUAACAUUCAAGGAUGUGGCUGUAGACUUCAGCCAGGAAGAGUGGUGCCAGUUGGAUCAUUCUCAGAAAGAGCUGUACCUGGAGGUCAUGCUGGAGAAUGUGCAGAAUCUACUCUCUGUGGGGGUAGAUUUUGAAGCGAAGGAGAUGUCUCCAAAGCUGAUUCUUUUUGUGGAAGGAUCUGACUCCCAAAGAUGCAUGAAUGGGAGUCUCUAUAACUUCCUUUUGAGAGAAAUCUGUGACUCUACUAUCAAGGCCAAUAAAAAUCCAAAGAGUGACUAUAAAUUUGAUGAAACUGCAGAGAAAUUCAGCCAGUAUUCAGGUCUAACUCCAUCUAUGAAAUUAACCUCAGGAAAUAACUGUUUUCCGGAUAGUGAAUAUAGGCAAUGCUUUCCUGAAGAAGUAAGACUUAUUCAGUCACAUGAGAAGCCUCCUGAAAUGCUCAUGUAUCAAGAUAACAUAGGAGGAAAGGGCUUUGGCUUGAGUUCAGACCUCAUUAGAUGUUCAAAAAGUAAAUGUGUACAAGUGGAUUCUGUGAGUGAUAAAGGUGGGAGACCUUCCUGUCAGAAUUCUGAGCUUCCUGCAUAUCAGAGAAUCCAUACUAAAGAGAAACCUUAUGAAUGUAAAGAGUGUGGAAAGGCUUUUACAGAGAGAGGAUCUCUUUCUGUACAUAAGAGAAUUCACACUGGAGAGAAACCUUAUAAAUGUAAAGAGUGUGGAAAGGCUUUUACACAGAGGGCCACUCUUGAUGCACAUCAGAGGAUCCACACUGGAGAGAAACCUUUUGAAUGUAAAGAGUGUGGAAAGGCUUUUACAAUGAAGUGCCAUCUUGUUGCACAUCAGAGAACCCACACUGGAGAGAAACCUUUUGAAUGUAAUCAGUGUGGAAAGGCUUUUACAAUGAAGGACUCUCUUACUAAACAUCAGAGAAUCCACAGUGGAGAGAAACCUUUUGAAUGUAAACAGUGUGGAAAGACUUUCACGGAGAAGGUCCAUCUUGCCAAACAUCUGAUAAUCCACACUGGGGAGAAACCUUAUGAAUGUAAAGACUGUGGAAAGGCUUUUAGAUCAAAGCACAGUGUUGCCACACAUCAGAUGAUCCACAGUGGAGAGAAACCUUAUGAAUGUAAAGACUGUGGAAAGGCUUUUAGAUCAAAGCACAGUCUUGCCAUACAUCAGAUGAUCCACACUGGAGAGAAACCUUAUGAAUGUAAAGACUGUGGAAAGGCUUUCACACAGAGGGGCAGUCUUGCUGCACAUCAGAGAAUCCACACUGGAGAGAAACCUUAUGAAUGUAAACAUUGUGGAAAGGCUUUUACAUGGAGGGAUUCUUUUGUAAUACAUCAGAGAAUCCACUCUUGAGAGAAAUUUUAUAAAUCUAAACACUAUGCACAUCAGAGAAUCCUCUGGGGAGAAACCUUAUGAAUGUAUACACUGUGGAGAGACUUUUACAUGGAACAUCUCUCUUGCUAAACAUGAGAGAAACCUUAUUGUAUGGGAUAAAAUCUUGUAUUAUUCUCCAGCCUUCAUUAUUUAGUAUUAGUAAUUUUUGAUUCGCAAAUUCCUAUAGAAAAUAGGGAAACUUAGUGUCCUUCAGAAGGGAGAUACUAAUGUCUCUUUAUGAAGAAUAGAGAAAUCCCCAUGCUGCUGUUUAUAUAUACAUAUACACCUUCAGUUCACUCUUUUCUAAUGUGGCCCCAACUUCCCCUUUUUUUUAAUUAUUUUGGAUUAAAUUGUUUUGAUUAUGAAAUCAUGGAGUGGAUCAGGUCAUGAGGCUAGAAUGGCAGCAGGGAAAAGGCAGCCAUAGAGUCAAGAAAUUAGGAGGCAGGGGUCAGGUCAGAUGCCCCUUGCACUGGCCCUGGAGUGCUCCUCUUGGAGGCCUAGGCAAAGUAGGAAGCCACAGUUGACUUCUGGGAGUUACUAGUAGGAGAAAGAAGUUUGAUAAACUGAGGGAAAGGCAGAUUUGCCUCUCUUCUCUUCCAGGUUUUGUUGCUUACUGGACUUUCCUAUGAGCAUGGCUAGGGGGCCCUAAUGGCAGUGACAGAAUAUCAAGCUCAAUAUGGCAACCUGGAAAGUAAUUUCUAUUUCUCUCUCCUCUUUUCUGAGACCCCAAGACACAAGGGCAACUGCGAGGCCACUGCUCGCCCAUCACCCUGGCAUGCCCAGUAUGGGCUUUUCUCCCCACCAUUGCCCCUAGUCCUGGGAGACCUUGUUCCCUUGCUUAGCAUCCCACAAGCCAGUGCCCUGGACCUACUUGCCAACAGUAAAGAUGUAAGCAAUUUAAAAAUCAAUAAGAUUAAAUCAAUAAAAUGAAGGAAAUAAAAAUAGAAAAUUAAGUUAAACAAAACUAAUAAAAUCCAGUAAAAUUACGUGUGUGUGUGUGUGUGUGUGUAAUUAAUUUGGUGCACCAGUUGAGGAGUCUGUCAUUUCAAAAUGUGUUGACUUGCAUGGACUUCUUAUUUUGCCCUAACCUCAAAGCCCAGCUUUGCUGCCUUCUAAAAUAAACUUUAAAAAAGUUGUAUCUACAUUUUUUAUUAGAGUAUUGGAAAUGUU